rnacentral:tRNA from 1 species
GCCUGUCUGGCUCAACUGGUAGAGCAUGUGACUCUUGAUCUCAGGGUUGUGGGUUUGAGCUCCACAUUAGGUG